ensembl:lncRNA
GCAGGCAAGGGGUGAGGAUCCCAGCUGCGACACUUAGCAGCUGUGUGACCUCAGGCAAGCCCUGCACCUCUCUGAGCCUCUUCCAUAGCUGGGUAGGAGGAUGUGGAGACUGCCUGUGAACAGCCCUGACAACUUGCCUGGCAUGUGACAUCCGCUCUCUCUCUGGAUCGGAACCUGCGGUACUUUGCCUCCUGAGAAAUGUGGGCUGUGAUGGACGACGAGAUGGUGUCCCAACUAAGAUGAAGAACACGGCGCCGGGGGCAGCAGACACCAGGAGAAUCAAUAAACUAUAAUUAUCAAGAGCGGUGUCUGUGAGAGGUGUGGACUCCUGUGGACAGAGAGAGACAGAGGAGGGGGCGGGAGCGAGACACGCACUCAUCCUGAGAGAUGCAGAAGACGCAUGUGCCCGAGGAAGCGAAAGCGAGAAGGGAGAAGCAGAAUGGAUGCUUGGAGAGGUUGGGAAGCUCUAGGAGCAGCAAGAUGUUGGGAACAAAUAAUAUGACAGAUGGACUUCCAAUACAACUGUGAAGUGCCUUCAGUGACAUCCAUGUAUCUGGAGAGUCAGAGGACCCCAUGUUUCCUUGAAGAUGCUAGAUUUCUUUUCUCAAGGGCUCAGUUUGAAGGUUGUAACCAGCCUCUGGGAGCAGGAUAACAUGAAUUUUGUGGCCCAACAGACCAGACUGCCACUUACUUUAUGUACAAUAGCGGGCAAGAGGCUCAGGCCCAUGCCAUUCUCACCCAGCUGGUGAGGAGGGCAAGCAUGGAACCCAGGAGCUCCAUUCCAGAGUCCUUACUUUUAGCAACUAUUGUGACUAAAGAGUGCAGUGGAUAUUUGAAGUGCUUAGCACAGUGCCUGGCUGCUCACGAAAUGAUAGCAAUGAAGAUGAUUAUUCCGUUAAUGAGGUGAUGAAGAUGAUGAUGGCAACAAGGUUGAGAGAAUAAGAUUUGCACAUGUAGAUAACAGAAGUGCCUGCACCUUCUCUCCUGCCCGGAGGAAAGAGCCAGAAAAUAGGAAGAUUUCCAAGCCAAAGUCUGCAGCUCAUCCAUGGGGCCACAGGAUCAUGCACAUCGCUGAAGGGACUCGGGACCCCUGGAGUCUCCCAUGACCCACAAAUGCCUUGAACUAAACAUACUGCAGGGAUGCUGACAUCUAUAAACUUCUGAGUCUGAUGAGGUCUCCACUGACAAUUAACCUCUUGAAGCCUUCUUUUGCUCUUUGUGUUUUUUAUUGUAAAAUGGGCAAAAUGAUAGUGUCUACCUGUCUUAGUCCUAGUCCAUUCAGGCUGCUCUAACAAAAUAUCACAAAUGGUAAGGUGGCUUUUAAAUGAGACAUUUAUUUCUCAUAGCUCUGGAGGCUGGAAGUCUAAGACCAGGGGGUCAAAAUAUCACAAAUAGUAAGGUGGCUUUUAAAUGAAACACUUAUUUCUCAUAGCUCUGGAGGCUGGAAGUCCAAGACUGGGGGGUCCAGGACAGUUGGAUGAGGGCCCUCUUCUAGGUUGUAGAUAUCUCAGUAUACACUUAUGAGGGUAGAAAGGGACAGCAGAAGUGAUUUAUCAGGAGGCUCCUUAUAUAAGGCACUAAUACCCCUCAUGAGGGCUGCACCCGCGUGACUUAAGCACCGCUCCAAUGCCUCACCUCCUGACCAUCACCUUGUGUGUAUGUUCAGUCACUCAGUCAUGUCCGUCUCUCUGUGACUUCAUGGAAUGUAGACUGCCAGCCUCCUCUGUCCAUGGAAUU